rnacentral:tRNA from 1 species
UCCUGGGUGGUCCAGCGGUUAGGACUUGGCACUCUCACUGCUGUGGCCUGGGUUCAAGCCCUGAUCAGGGA